rnacentral:lncRNA from 1 species
AGUUAAAGACUCACCCGCCCCACGCCUCUCUUAAGGCCAAUAACACUGCUCAGAGGGAAGGUUCAAAAGCUAGGCAGAGAGAAACCGUAACGUUUAUGACGGCGGGAUAAAGACCCUUUCCCACAGAAUGCCAUGUCUUUGUGAAAUGAUUAUAAGGAAUCGUCCCUUGAAUAUAGACUGCUGUGAGUGUUGGCGUGCGCUUCCCCUGCCGAAAGUGAGAGGAGAGCAGAAAGUGCAAGAAAGUCAAUGUGGCUACCCCGAGGCUUGUAGCACCACGCUCUACAGGACCUGGAAGUAAGAGGAGGACUCCCACCCCAUAAAAUGACAGACAGUAAGGCAAAGAAACUGCAGCUCAGAGAAGAUAGGGGCCUGCCUGGGACUCAGCUAUGCUUUCUGCCUCUUGAGUCAACUUCUAUUUAUCUCAUGAAACCCAUUUGGCUUCCAAAACAUAAAUUAAACAUCACAUUUUAUUUUAAGGUUGAGCCACUUGCCUAAUCUACCCUCCCAUAUUUGCCCAUCAGCAUAUUUUGUAAUUGGAUAUGGAAUCUAGUUUCUCCAACUUAAAAUUAUUAAGCUCUAAAUCACACUGGUC